rfam:Bacterium CG2_30_33_46 isolate CG2_30_33_46 cg2_3.0_scaffold_1888_c, whole genome shotgun sequence.
AGGGUUACUAAUUAUAAGGUAUAUGAUGGAUGCCUUGACAAAAGGAGCCGAAGAAGGACGUAGCUGGCUGCGAUAAGCCUCGGAGAGCUGUUAAGCAAGCUUUGACCCGGGGAUUUCCGAAUGGGGCAACCUAUCUCGAUAAACUCGAGAUGUCCGUUAUUUUAACGGAUGGGCACCUGGGGAACUGAAACAUCUAAGUACCCAGAGGAAGAUAAAUCAACCGAGAUUCCCUUAGUAGCGGCGAGCGAACGGGGAAAAGACCGUACUUAUCUUUUCGAAUAUAAGUAUGGCAGAGUCUAAACCAAAUAUUUUCCAGUUUUAUAACUGGUUUUAUGUGAGUAAUAAAUGUAGGUGUUGUAAGGUAGUUGUUUAGUUUAGUCAGAAAUCUUCAGUUUCAGAUUUAUUCCGACCUGAAGAUUUUUGUCUAGCUAAUUUUAAUCACAGUUUAUGAAUAAGGUAAAAAACCAAAAAGUUAAGAGAAGAUCCCUGGAAAGGGCCACCAUAGAGGGUGACAGUCCUGUACAUUAAAAUUUUUUGGCCUUAUACAACUAUUCUUAAGUACCAUGGGACACGAGAAAUCCUGUGGGAAUCCGGGUAGACCACUAUCCAAGACUAAAUACUCCUUUUGAUCGAUAGCGAACUAGUACCGUGAGGGAAAGGUUAAAAGAACCCCGGUGAGGGGAGUGAAAUAGAACCUGAAAUCAUAUACUUACAAAGAGUCAGAGCCCGAUUUAUCGGGUGAUGGCGUGCUUUUUGUAGAACGAGCCAACGAGUUAGUGAAGUAUAGCAAGGCUAAGUCGAAUGACGGAGCCGUAGUGAAAGCGAGGAUUAAUAGUCCGAAAUUAGUUAUACUUCCUAGACCCGAAACCAGGUGAUCUAUCCAUGGUCAGGAUGAAGCUACUGUAAAAGGUAGUGGAGGUCCGAACACACCGGAGCUGCAACACCGGGUGAUGAGCUGUGGAUAGGGGCGAAAAACCAAUCGAACCUGGAGAUAGCUGGUUCUCCUCGAAAUAGCUUUAGGGCUAGCGUUGUACAAUAGCAGAUAGGGGUAGAGCACUGAAUGGGACCGGGGCUUCACGGCUACCGUUUCUAAACAAACUCCGAAUACUAUCUGUUUUACUACAGCAGUCAGACUGUGGGGGAUAAGCCUCAUAGUCAAAAGGGAAACAGCCCUGAUCAUCAUCUAAGGUCCCUAAAUCUACGCUAAGUGGAAAAGGAUGUGAGAUUACAUAGACAACCAGGAGGUUGGCUUAGAAGCAGCCAUUCCUUUAAAGAGUGCGUAACAGCUCACUGGGUUACGUGAUCUUGCGCCGAAAAUUUAACGGGGCUAAGUGUAGUACCGAAGAUAUGGGAUUCAUCAUUUUUUGAUGGAUCGGUAGAGGAGCGUUCCUAUUUGGAUGAAGCUCAACUGUAAGGUUGGGUGGACGAGUAGGAAGUGAGAAUGUUGGCAUUAGUAGCGUAUAUGCAGGUGAGAUACCUGCACACCGUAAGUCUAAGGUUUCCCUUCCAAUGCUAAUCAGGGAGGGGUUAGUCGGUCCUAAGUUCAUCCCGAAAGGGUUAGAGCGAUGGUCAAACGGUUCAUAUUCCGUUACUUCUAUAGAUGUUCCUAAUCAAGACGCUUAACAAAAGAGCGGGCAUUUUUAUGGCUAUAAGUGUCUAAUCACCCGAAGGGUGAGAAUGAAAGUCCUUUAUUGGGCAAUUCGCUUGAAGGUUGAGCCUAGAAAAUUGAUUAAUUAAAGUCUAUAGAAACCGUACCGUAAACCGACACUGGUAGACGAGGCGAGUAGCCUCAGGUGUUCGAGAAAACCCUCGUUAAGGAACUCGGCAAAACAGCGGCCGUAACUUCGGGAUAAGGCCUGCCUUGCGCAAGCGAGGCCGCAGCGAAAGAUUCCAGGCGACUGUUUACCAAAAACACAGGUCUCUGCUAACUCCUAAAGAGGAAGUAUAGGGACUGAUGCCUGCCCAGUGCUGGAAGGUUACACUGAUCCGUGCAAGCGGAGAUGUUAAGCCCCAGUGAACGGCGGCGGUAACUAUAACCGUCCUAAGGUAGCGAAAUUCCUUGUCUGGUAAGUUCAGACCCGCACGAAUGGCUUAACGGUCUGGAAACUGUCUCAACGAGGGGCUCGGUGAAAUUGCAAUACCGGUAAAGAUGCCGGUUACCUACGACAAGACGGAAAGACCCCGUGAAGCUUUACUAUAACUUAGUAUUGGGUCAGGACUUAAUUUGUGUAGCAUAGGUGGGAGACUUUGAAACUUCGGCGUCAGCCGGAGUGGAGUCAUUAGUGAAAUACCACCCUUAUUAAGUUUUGAUUCUAACCACUCAAAGAGUGGAACAGUGCUUGGUGGGUAGUUUAACUGGGGCGGUUGCCUCCUAAAGAGUAACGGAGGCGUUCAAAGGUUCCCUUGGUCCCAAUGGAAACGGGACUGAAAGUGUAAAGGCAUAAGGGAGCUUGACUGUGAGACCUACAAGUCGAGCAGGUGCGAAAGCAGGACUUAGUGAUCCGGUGCACUUCGUGUGGAAGAUGCAUCGCUCAACGGAUAAAAGCUACUCCGGGGAUAACAGGCUUAUAGUGCCCAAGAGUUCACAUCGACGGCACUGUUUGGCACCUCGAUGUCGGCUCGUCGCAUCCUGGGGCGGAAGUACGUCCCAAGGGUUUGGCUGUUCGCCAAUUAAAGCGGUACGCGAGCUGGGUUCAGAACGUCGUGAGACAGUUCGGUCCCUAUCUGUCGUAGGCGCAUUGAAGUUUGAGAGGAGUUCCACCUAGUAAGAAAUUGCUACUUUACGGAGAGAUCCGUAAUGACAAUUCGGCUAAUAACGGUGAAACCUUCAUAAAUAUAUCUGGCAACGGAGAAAUAACUGGUUUCGGUCAACCGGUUAUGAUAUACUUACUUGAUGACCAGAUAAUUUUUAAGGCAAUACCGUGGGAAGUCUUCUUAAAACACAAAUAGCAUAUAUUGCAGGUUUUUUAGAUGGUGAUGGAAGUUUGAUGCUCCAGAUUAAAAAACGAAGCGACAAUGGUCGUUCAAGGUUUAUGGCAACAAUCUGUUUCUAUCAGGAUUCCCGUCACGAUAAGCCAUUAAUUUGGAUAAGAGAUGCUUUUAGUAUCGGAUACAUAUCCAAGAGGAAUGAUGGCAUUACAGAACUUCGGAUAAACGGAUAUAAGCAAGUAGAAAAAAUUAUAAAAUUAUUUAUACCCUUUAUCCAAUUUAAGAAAGUUCAGGCAGAAGUACUUUUUAAAAGUGUUAUUCUGCUUCAAAAGAAAAACUUCACUAAAGAAGAUUUUCUAAAACUUGUAGAUAAUAUGCUGGUAAUUCAAAAUGAAAAUUACGGAACAAGAAAAAAGAAAACUAAAGAAGAAUUGCUGAAAGUUUUAAGAAUGACCCCGUAACGACUUGCUCCAAUUGGAGCGGACUUAUAUAAACUGGAAAGCUUUAAAAAGCAGGUUUAUAUGGGUAAUAUGCCGACCCCUAAUCCCGAUUUUAUCGGGAAAGGGUGAAGAUAUAGUCUAUGCUCCUAGAAAUAGGGGAGGAACAUGACGAGAGGACCGGUGGGAACGAACCUCUGGUGUACCAGUUGUCCUGCCAAGGGCAUCGCUGGGUAGCUAUGUUCGGACGGGAUAAGCACUGAAAGCAUAUAAGUGCGAAGCCUCCCUCAAGAUUAGACUUCUAAGAUCGGUUGAAGACUACAACCUUGAUAGGCUCUAGGUGUAAGCAUGGUAACAUGUUCAGCCGAGGAGUACUAAUGAUCAUUGUGACCCUGU